GGCUGUAGCUCAGUGGCAAAGCAUUUGCCUAGCAUGCCUGAGGCACUGGGUUCAAUCCUCAGCACCA
rnacentral:tRNA from 1 species